rnacentral:rRNA from 1 species
AUGGACAUGGACAAGGAGUACUACAAGGCCUGCAUGGGCAUGGAGGCGCUGCCGAUGAGCCCGGCCGGUCUGUCGGCGGUGACGACAGAGGUAGCCAUGGCGGCGGCGACGGCAAGCGAGGACGAGGGCGACCUGAAGAGGGGCCCGUGGACGGCGGAGGAGGACAUGCUCCUCGUCGACUACAUCUCCAAGCACGGCGAGGGGCGCUGGAACUCGCUCGCUCGAUGCGCAGGCCUGAGGCGCACUGGGAAGAGCUGCCGGCUCCGGUGGCUGAACUACCUCCGCCCCGACGUCCGGCGCGGCAACAUCACGCCGGAGGAGCAGCUGUUGAUACUGGACCUGCACUCCCGGUGGGGCAACCGCUGGUCCAAGAUCGCGCAGCGCCUCCCGGGGAGGACGGACAACGAGGUCAAGAACUACUGGCGGACCAGGGUGCAGAAGCACGCCAAGCAGCUCCACUGCGACGUCAACAGCGACCGCUUCCGCGACGUCGUCAGGCAAGUCUGGAUGCCCCGCCUCCUCGAGCGCAUCCAGGCCGAAAGCUCCUCCUCCGCCGCCGCUGCUGCAGGCGUGGGUGUUCCGGCGCUGACAAGGGCGAUGAGCUCGCCGGCCGGUGCAUCACAGUACCACUGCUUCGAUCACGCGAGCAGCGGGGAGCCGAGCCGGAAGGUGGCGGUGACUAUGAGCCCUGACACCUCGAGCACGCUCCGGUCUUCUCUGUCACCGGCGGAGACGUCGCACGGAGCCCAUUUCCCAGCGUGGGGCGCUGCCACUACCACGGCGAACGUUGAUGGCUCGAUGAUGCAGUGCGCCGGCCCCGAGGCUGGGGCCAUAGGCGGCGAUCAUUACGUCAUCCACGGUGACAGCCUCAGCGGGAGCUGGUCGGAGCUCCUCGCCGCCACCGAUAUCCCGGACUUCGAGUUCGGAAAUUUCGACGACAACUUGUGGAGCCUAGAGGACAUUUACUGCUGA